AGGAGCCCAGAAACUUACCAGAGGUACCGUGGUGACUUCAUCGACUGUGAGCUGCUGGUACAGGACCUGACCAUGGACCUGUGCAAACUAGCUUUCCUCUUGGGAUCCCUGAUCUGCACCGCAAGUGGUAUUGAAGUGGACGGCUACAUCAGAACUGAGGGAGAACAGAUCCUCUCACUGCAGAGAAGAUAUUACUUAGUCAGCUCUGUGGCUGAGUGUGCCGCCAAAUGUGACACUGAAACAUUCUUCACAUGCAGGUCUUUCACAUAUCAUGAGA